ensembl:lncRNA
AUGAAGUCUAUCUUUCUAUACAGUGAACUACUCAUGGGUCACGCAGCCUCGACAUCCGGGCUCAAGAGAUCAGAUCCUCCCACCUCAGCCUCCCUAGUAGCUGGGAUUGCAGUGGAUGCUGACAAAAACGGUACAAGAGAAUUUAUGAACAAAAACGAAAGAAACAAAUGGCGAAAAAUAUUUGAAGUACUUUUUCUUGGGCUGGCUCUUCUCCAAAUGACAACGGAUAAUUAGGUAAGUAAAUUAGACCUUACUGAAACCAAUGACUUUCUCUGAUUAAAACACCAUGCAGAAAAAUGACAUAUUGCAGAGAAAACAACCUUUCCUCUUUAAGCUCACUAUUCUCUUGUUGAGUUAUCAUUCAGUAUUGGGUAGAGAAGCAGCUAAAUGCACAAAGUUUAGGGUCAAGUGAAAAUUACCCGAAGCUUUAUGGGUAAUUAGUUUGGGUUAUAUUAGGCAAGGGAGUAUUCAUUAGUUACAAUGCAAACACUAUGUGGUUACUAGACAUUCACAUCCCGGCAUGGUUCCUAGUUCAGCCCAUAAUUACCUAUUCACCAGAUGAUCAGUUUUGCAGCCGGGUGAAGAAGAAAUCCUCAGGAAACACUGUGGUGUCACCCUGGAAACGUGGGACUAGCAGAGCAAGUGGGCUAAGCAAAGUCUAAUUAUUUCUGGAGGGAAAAAGGACACUCUUUGGAAUUUCCCUGCCCCUAGAGAGAGCAGUAUGAAUCAUUUGGGUAAGCGGUCUCCUACAUGUGAUUUGAGAGUUCGUUUAUGAGAGGCCCUUUGCUCUAAAAUACCAGCACUAGUGAUUGUCCCAUUACCAUUAUAGAUUCAUUUCCUCAAAUGUUGAAUGCCUUUCAAACCAAGAGUCAUAAUGUAAAAUUCAACUUCUGCCAGGAAGCUAGUAUAUUAAGCUGGUGUCAGCUGUUAUCUGGAGGAUAAGUAGAGUGGCCACAUAUCUGGUUUACAUGGCACAGCCUUGGUUUAUACUCAUGAUAUGAUAAUUAAUACCAUCCCCAUUCAGUCUCAGUCUGGGUUCAAUGAUGACAAAAUAUAUGACCUAUAAGUCUAAAUCCAGUCUGGAUUAAUGCUUUCAGACAACAAUAAUAACUCUGGCUAAUUUAAGUUUUUGACAAGAAUAUCUGAUUGGUUGAACUAAGACCACAUAUUCAACCUAGAGUCGCCAGAGAUGAGGGAGACCAAACAGGUGGCUUCCAGCUAGAGCACUUCCUCCAGAUAAGAGCUUGUGUGCAGACUAACCAAACCAGAAAAAUGGAAUCAGAAGGUUUCAGCAAAAAUACAACAGCAAAAAUACAAAUUUGAACCAAAAGUAUUCUUCCUUCUGGCUAUUGCCUGAUGUGUUGAAUUAUAACUUCGAGAUGACAAUAUAUGUUUGCCAAGGAUAUAAAGAGAUAUUAGUAAAAUGGGAGAAGGAAUCUCAAAUCAAUAAAUUUCUCCUUUUUUACAGUAUGGCCUAGAAACACCUCUCAGAGCUCUGAUCAGAACCCUAAGCUCUCUAUAAAUGGUCAAAUGCCUUAAAUUUGUUGGAAGAACAUUCGAAUCUAGAAAGUCCUAGAAUAAAGGAAUAGUAACUGGAAAUGUUAUAUUAAUUUCUUCAUGAAAACUCGUUUUCCUAAUAUAUGGAUUAUACUAAUAUCAUUGCUAGUAUGUGGUUUAUUAGUCAUAUGUGCUAAUUUUGUAAAAUAAAAUAAUGCUAUGGUUUGAGAUUUUUAAGAAUCUUUAGCUUAAAAAAAUUAUGUGUAAGUAUAAAGCUACAGUUUGAUUUUUAAAUACAAAAUUUUGUUUUUAUAAAUUAAUGACCUCACAUUGCAGUUGAUACAUAUUUAGAAAGAAGAUCAGAGACCACCAACAAUACUUUGGGAGGAAAACAAGACCAGUUCAUAGAUGGUAAUUAAAAAGCUUCUCCCAUGCUAUACCAAAUGUAUGGAUAGAAAGAUUACCAUUAGUUUUCUACUUAAACUAAAAUAAUCAUUGGUCUUAUAAUAAAUAGGGAAAAUGCUAAUAUACAAUAUUGAAAUAUACAUCUUAUGACACUGAAGAAGGAAGAUUUGAUUUUUGUUUGAUAAAGAAGCACACAUUUAUCUCAAAGUAACUUAAGUUCCCCUCAACAAAUGCACAUUCAUGCAAUACACCCAUAGAACAAAGAGAAAAUAAGACUGUAUUAAUCCUUAGUAAUUCGAAUAGUGAUUUGGGAUUUAAAGCACCUUCAUUCUGUUCACUAAUUCUUUAUGUAACCAUAGUCUGGGAGCUAAGUUUCUGCUCACCUUAACAUCUAGAUUAAUAGUAUGACUGUAAUACUUCUUAUAUUAAUACAGCAUCCUGCCAUACCAUUAAAUAGAGCUCAAGUCUAAUUUUGAAGGCCUAAAACAAAAACAAACAUACUAUAUGUAAAUUGGUACCUGGCCCACAUUAAAAAGAAAUUAAGCUUUCAUAAAAGCAUUUUUAUCUGCCAGUCCCUUUAUAACUAUGUUUAAACAUGUCAUGUCUUUUUUAAUUGUUUUUCUUUACUUCUAUAUUUCUUCAUUGAUGAUAAAAAUGAACUUUAGAGACAUGUUAAGAACGAUUCCCGGUGCCUGGAGUCCCAGCUACUCAGGAGGCUGAGGCAGGAGAAUGGCGUGAACCCGGGAGGCGGAGCUUGCAGUGAGCCGAGAUCGCGACACUGCACUCCAGCUUGGGCUACAGAGCGAGACUCCGUCUCAAAAAUAAAUAAAUAAAUAAAUAAAUAACUAAAUAAUAACGAUUCCCAUAUAGAUUUUGCAUUGUAAAAUAAAUGCCUAAUACAAUGGGAGUAUUUGUAAGUGAUUUAUGCAAAUGGAUGGAAAACAUAACAGAUUCUGUCUGUCCUGCCAUUGAAAGUUCUUCUGAACAUGGACAAUUGAUAAUCGUAUGCUCAAGACAACAACAAAAUAAUCCCGACAGAACAGGCUCCCUUCAAACUAGGAAGCGAUGAGUUUCAUACCAAUAAAACAUACACACUUCACAGUUAAUUAAAUUCUUCACGUGACAAAAAAUCCAAACAAUGUGAAUAUUAGAUAAUAUUUUAGUCAGAAUAGGACCUACUGAAGCAUGUGGGAUUAGUAUACUAUGUUCAAUGUUAAUGUUGUAUAUAAUUAUACUAUAAAUGGUAUAAUUUAACCCAAUAUUUAAGUAAACUAAUCUUACGAUUUUUCAGAGCAUAGAAAUGCCCUAGAAAUGAGGUUAAAUCUAACCAAAGUCACACCAUUUAUUGCUUCGGGUUACCAUAUCACUAACCAACUUAGAAAUUAGACUAAGGACAAAUUUUUCCUAAAUAGUUAAAUAAAAUAAAUUAUGUUAAAUUAUAUACUCAGAAUGACUGUAACUUCAAAGCACACAAACUUAAAUAGGUGUAGAGAUAAAUAUGGAAAGAAACAGGAUCAUUCACUUGUGUUCUGUACUUGCUAAAUGUCUUUAUAAUAUUCUUGCUAUCUAUAUGAAUGGAAGUACAUCAAAUUUUCACAGAAUUUUGCCAAUAAAUAAAUUACAUACUUUUUAAUAUGCACAAAAUUGUAUACUUUUUAGAAUGAGAUAGUAGAGAUAUUAAACAAAAUAUACUACCGAUUGCAUAUGCCACUAAUAAAGUUCUCAAAAACCAGUGUUGGGAUUUAAGAGUUCUGUGCUCCUUGUUCUGUCACAGAUUGCCAGAACAUUUUAUUUUUUAGAUAAUAUAUUAAUUGCAUUGUAUAAUUAUACCAUGUGAGGCUAAUUAUUUGAUGAGCAAUCAUGAAUGCAAACAGAAAUAAUCCAAUAGUGAAUCCAAACAAAAACUUCCCACCAAACACCUUUUCAAUUAAAAUAUGUCAUUACAAAGCUCAAUAUCCAUUUCAGGUCUCUCUUCACUAUGAAUUUCCAAAUAGCUUAAUAGCUGAUCUUAUUUAAAAAUGCUUUAUACUUUUCGUUUAUUCCUUGACAAAUGCAUAUCCGAAAUUCUAAAUCUCAUCAUUAUAAAUGUUUGAUUCUCAAGCUGGAUAAAACAUAGUCAGAAUUUAUUCCAAAGGUGCUACUAAUAAAUAACAGAGAGAAUUAUUAGAUACCACACUAUAUACUUAGCUCAGAGAACUAAGUCAUAAUUACUUUCAUGAUUCGUAUUAUGUGCAUAAAAUAUAAAUAUAUGGGCAAUUAUAUAUGUAUAUAUAUUUUAAAAAUCAAGUUAUAUUGAAUUUCACAGAGAACAAAUGAUUCAAGAUUUAAGAGAAACAGUGUAAGACAUAAGUAUUAUUCUAUAUUUGUAAAAAGUCUGCUAACAUGCUAGAGGUAGAGAAAAUUUUCUCUAGUAGGUUUUGCAUCAUGCUAUAUAAAAAAGAUAAUUUUUUUCUCUUUUUUUGCUUUUAGUUAUUUUGUUUUUCUGGGAAAAAAAAAAUGGACCCCUCCCUAUAUGCACACUGCUUCUUAUAUAGCCAAGACUUCCCUCUUGUGGCUGGUUGAUGUCAAGAUAUACUUCUUCAUUUUUUUAAGUGACCACUUUCUUAAAUUGUUCCAGCAAGGAAACUGAAAAGACAAAAUUGCAUAGCUUAAGAUAUGUGAAGUCAAAGAUGAAUACAAUGUAAGUUGAGUAAACUUAUAAGAUUAGCUGAAAUAUUCUAGAUUUUUAAUUUUUCCAGUUAAAUUUUCAAUAUUCUUCCUAACACUUCCUUUAAUACCUUUGCCUUCCUGAGUAUUAAUAUCCUACUUCUGCUCCUGACUUACGUUUCUAGGAAUGUCACUUUAAUCAAAAACUGUUAAAUAGCUUUUGAAAUUAAGGGCGUUCUAUGUCAUUUAGACUAUGUUUCUCUGCCCAAAUUUAAGUGGAUCAAAAAAAAUGGAAAACAAAGUAAUUUUUAUUAACAUUGCUUAAAAAAAAAACAAAAAACAAAGCCCUAACUUCCUUGAAAUUUAGAAUUUACCAGGUAAGAAUCUGAGCCGAGAAGAAAGACUUUAACUUUUAAGUCACUACCGUCUUGAGUUAGAAUAAAAACUUCACUUGUACUGGAAAAUUGGUAAAAUUUAGAAACACUAAGGGGAAAUAAAGAGAAAUUGAGAACCUACUUCAGGUGUCUUGCUUUACAAUUUGUAUAUCAGUUAAUACUCAUAAAACCCUGAGAUUAUGCUGCUAACUUCCUUCUUGUAGAUGAAGAAA